CGCUCUACGUGCAAUAGAGUUCUUUGUGAGAGUCUAGAUAAAGCUGUCUAUUAUAUGCGCUAGGUUUUAUAUUGCACUUAUAUGUAUUGUGCAACUACUUGCUUAGGUCUUACCAGAAGGUAAGGAAAGGAAUUACAAUGCCUGUUGGACCAAUAAUUGUUGUGAGUAUAGAGGAACACGAACGUCCUGGACACUACUAUAAGGCAGAUAACAGUUCCUCGGCUUCAACCUAAUAUUAAGGAUUUAAAUGUACGAUUGGAUAAGCGUAACAGUAAAUAUUCGAUUGGUCUAUUUCCGGUUGUGAAAAUGGCUGCUGACAGUUUUCGAAAGAAAAGGGAUGCUAGAUUAAAAGCAA